rnacentral:rRNA from 1 species
AGGCUUUGCCUGCUAUCUCUACCCAUGUCUUUUGAGUACCUUCGUUUCCUCGGCGGGUCCGCCCGCCGAGUGGACAAUUUAAACCAUUUGCAGUUGCAAUCAGCGUCUGAAAAAACUUAAUAGUUACAACUUUCAACAACGGAUCUCUUGGUUCUGGCAUCGAUGAAGAACGCAGCGAAAUGCGAUAAGUAGUGUGAAUUGCAGAAUUCAGUGAAUCAUCGAAUCUUUGAACGCACAUUGCGCCCCUUGGUAUUCCAUGGGGCUGCCUGUUCGAGCGUCAUUUGUACCUUCAAGCUCUGCUUGGUGUUGGGUGUUUGUCUCGCCUCUGCGCGUAGACUCGCCUCAAAACAAUUGGCAGCCGGCGUAUUGAUUUCGGAGCGCAGUACAUCUCGCGCUUUGCACUCAUAACGACGACGUCCAAAAGUACAUUUUUACACUCUUGACCUCGGAUCAGGUAGGGAUACCCGCUGAACUUAAGCAUAUCAAUAGCGCCGGGAGGAAGAAUCAUUACCUAGAGUUGUAGGCUUUGCCUGCUAUCUCUCACCCAUGUCUUUGAGUACCUUCGUUUCCUGGCGGGUCCGCCCGCCGAAGGACAAUUUAAACCAUUUGCAGUUGCAAUCAGCGUCUGAAAAAACUUAAUAGUUACAACUUUCAACAACGGAUCUCUUGGUUCUGGCAUCGAUGAAGAACGCAGCGAAAUGCGAUAAGUAGUGUGAAUUGCAGAAUUCAGUGAAUCAUCGAAUCUUUGAACGCACAUUGCGUCUCUUGGUAUUCAUGGGGCCUGCUGUUCGAGCGUCAUUUGUACUUCAGCUCUGCUGUGUUGGGUGUUUGUCUGCUCUG